rnacentral:rRNA from 1 species
CUGUAGGGUGACUGCGGAGGACAUUAUUGAAUUAAUGUAGAGUUUGGUUGUAGCUGGCUCCUAAUUAAACUUGGGGGCAUGUGCACACCUUUCUCUUUCAUCCCAUACACACCUGUGCACCUGUGAGACAGAUGUUUUGUGGGGGGGAAGGAACUUUAUUGGACCUUCUACUCCCCCUUGACUUCUGUCUACUUAAUUCAUAUAAACUCAAUUUAUUUUAAAACGGAUGUAAUGGAUGUAACACAUCUAAUACUAAGUUUCAACAACGGAUCUCUUGGCUCUCGCAUCGAUGAAGAACGCAGCGAAAUGCGAUAAGUAAUGUGAAUUGCAGAAUUCAGUGAAUCAUCGAAUCUUUGAACGCACCUUGCGCUCCUUGGUAUUCCUUGGAGCAUGCCUGUUUGAGUAUCAUGAAAUCUUCAAAGUCAAACCUUUUGUUAAUUCAAUUGGUUCUGCUUUGGUAUUGGAGGAUUAUUGCAGCUUCACACCUGCUCCUCUUUGUGCAUUAGCUGGAUCUCAGUGUUAUGCUUGGUUCCACUCAGCGUGAUAAGUUAUCUAUCGCUGAGGACACCCUGUUAAAAAGGGGUGGCCAAGGUAAAUGCAGAUGAACCGCUUCUAAUAGUCCAUUGACUUGGACAAUAUCUAAUUUAUGAUCUGAUCUCAAAUCAGGUAGGACUACCCGCUGAACUUAAGCAUAUCAAA